GUCCUUAGUUACCAGCACGUUAUGGUGGGCGGCUCUAAGGAGACUGCCGGUGACAAACCGGAGGAAGGUGGGGAGUGACGUCAAGUCAUCAUGGCCCUUACGGCCUGGGCUACACACGUGCUACAAUGGUCGGUACAAAGGGUUGCCAAGCCGCGAGGUGGAGCUAAUCCCAUAAAACCGAAUCGUAGUCCGGAUCGCAGUCUGCAACUCGACUGCGUGAAGUCGGAAUCGCUAGUAAUCGUGAAUCAGAAUGUCACGGUGAAUACGUUCCCGGGCCUU
rnacentral:rRNA from 1 species